UAAAGUUUUGCCCUCAUGAAUUUGGACAUGACCCCAGAUACUGUUUGUGUACUUUACUGGGAUUCCUUGGUACAGCUUUAUAAUUCUGGAAUGACUCUUACUGCUUCUGUCUUUGGAGCAUGGCUGUGCAUAUGAAGCUACUGAGAAGAGUGGCCAAAGCAAUUUGGAAGGAAUGACUCUUCACAAGAUUUAGUUCCGUCUCAUACUUCCAGGGCUGGUGAAAGGAAAUCUCUCAUUUCUAAAAGAGAAUUUCAGCUGUUCUGAAGCCUGCAGAUGCUGAAUAAGUACCUACAAGCAAAAAAAAAAAAAUCUUGACCUCUAUCUUUUUUUGCCGCUCACAGGUUAUGGGGAUCAGGGCAUAGACCCUCCCCCACAACUUAAUUGGAUUGAAAUUAUUCUCUAUGUGAUUCCAAAUAACUGACCUCCAACCUGAAUGUGUAUAAUUCAUGUGAACUUCUAAACAUUCCUUUCCCACCCUUUCAGCUUCAAAAGGUGAUAUAUUGUGCUUUCAUCAUCAAUCAUCAUCAUCAUCAUCAUCAUCCUGAGAAAGUCUAAAACAUAAUUACAGAACUUUAAGAUAAAAAAAUUCAUUCUCUAAGAGAGAAGAGAGACUUGUCCAAGGUCAUUCAGCAAAUGAGUGAGGACUCAGAUCCACCCAACAUUCUUCCCUAAAUCAAAGCUAUGAAAGAUCAUUAGGGAAGAUCUUGCCUAAUCUUCCAAUUCUACUGCACGGAAACAGGAAGUAUGAUUCCAAAGAAUGGGCCUAUGAGUGCACUUCCAAACCACAGCUAAUUUUCCCUAAGAGUCUUCCGGAUGGUGGGUUUUUUGAGUACUUUCCAGAAAAAAAAAGUCAAUUAAUAUCUUACUGUUACUUGUACAUAGAAUUGUAUAUAACUGUUCAAUAAAUUGCAAAACAGAGCCUCUGGCUUCACACAUUACU
ensembl:lncRNA